GUCACACACAAGAAAACUAGGACUGUUUCCAGUGCUUAGACGGAGAGAGAAUGCAGACUCAGCCACUGCACACACCAGUGCAGAAACGGGCGCUUGGCUGUGCUCUUCCCUGAGGAGUGGUGGGGAGGGAGGUGCUCCCAGCAGGAUGCUGAGAGGACGGAUGGGAGGAUCCCCGGAGGUGGGACGGAGAAGGGAAGGACAGUGCAGCGCCAUCCAAGUGGAAGGGCUUGGAGGAGGGCUAGCAUGUGUUAUGUGCUCAGCGCAGAAGUAAAAAUUAUGAACUCCAGAUAUUUUAUUCCUGUUGAUCAAAUUAAAAGAAAAAAUGAGAGCAGGUUUAUAACAGCAAGUGUUCUAGGUAUUGGGAAAUCCUGAACCUUGAUGGUGUAAUGCUUUGAGAUUAUGGCAAAAUUUGAAAAGGUAUUUAACACUUGGUUACCUUGGAGAAAAGAAUACAAGCAUUAGGCCCAUGGAGGGCAGUGGGAUGUUCUUGUAUGAUCUGUAUUUAUUCUGUAUGCUGUUGGCACGAGGCUCAGCAGUUUUGUUUUGUCUCAACAUGAGCUCCCUGUGAGAUUGUACUGAAACUGCAAAGGAUCACCCUUACUCUCGAGGCUGAUCCUGAUUCUAAGAAAUAAAGCUUGCUCACCAUGGAAAUUGAUAAUACUUAACCCGCUAUCACUACAGUUCGAGCAUCCCCAGAAAAAUCUCAAACCCCAAAUCCCCCAAAAUCCAAAACUUUUGAGCAUCAACAUAAUGCCACAAAUGGAAAAUAAUACACCUGACCUAUAUGGGAGUCACAGUCAAAACAUAGCCACCCUAAAAAUACUGUAUAAAACUACUCUUAGGUUAAUUUGUAUAAAUAUAUGAAACACAAAUGAAUUUAGACUUGGGUUACAUCCACAGGAUGCAUCGUUGUGUAUAUACACAUAUUCCAGAAUCUGAAAAAAGUCCAAGACUUCUGGCCUCAGUCAUCUCAGAUAAGGCAGCAGACUUUGGUCUUCCUGGCCAAAGGGUACACCUUGACAGUGUGGAAGCAAACCUGCUUGAAGACAACCCUCUCCCUCACUGUUCUCCUCUGAUGUCCUGCUUGGGCAUUAAGGACUAGGCUGUGGGGAGAGAGGGAGAAGAACAACAGGAAGAAAGAAGAUUCUGUGGGGAACAAAGAAUGCAAAUGCUAGUGACAGCCCUCUAGCCAUGUGGAUUAUCUUUGCCGUGACCAAAUCCCUGACACGCACAGUUUAAAAGAGGAAAAGUUUAUUUGGUUUAUGGUUGCAGAUAUUUCAGUUCAUGGGUGAAAAUAAAAAAAAGAUCAAGGUUAGUUUGGGAGCAUCAAAAUAAUGAAGAGACCCCCGUUCAUUUUGUCUUACUUUGCUAAAGAACCAAAUUUGAGGAAGUCUACAGCAGGGUGAAGUAAAAGGAUUGUCAGAAGUUUCCUUAGAGAAGGGCAGAGAAAAAGAGGAAGCAGUGGGAGAAGAUAAGCUCUGGAAAUCCAGUCUGGUUUGUGUGAGGAAAUCACCUUUUUCAAAUGGGAAGCGGAUCAGGAGAUGGAGGGAGAGGGAGAGAGGAGGAAAGGGGAUUGAGGAAAGGAAGGAAGAUGUGUAACUGCACCAGCUCUGUACAAGGAGUGUAAACAUCAUGUGCUGCAAACAUGGAGUAAUG
ensembl:lncRNA